GGGCACGUAGCAUAAUGGAUAAUGCAUCACUCUUCUAAAGUGCCGAUUGCUGGUUCGAGUCCAGCCGUGCCUG
rnacentral:tRNA from 2 species